rnacentral:rRNA from 1 species
CCUACGGGCGGCAGCAGUGGGGAAUAUUGGACAAUGGGGGGAACCCUGAUCCAGCCAUGCCGCGUGUGUGAAGAAGGCCCUCGGGUUGUAAAGCACUCUCAGUGAGGAAGAACGCCUGGUGGUUAAUACCCAUCAGGAAAGACAUCACUCACAGAAGAAGCACCGGCUAACUCCGUGCCAGCAGCCGCGGUAAUACGGAGGGUGCGAGCGUUAAUCGGAAUUACUGGGCGUAAAGCGCGCGUAGGUGGCUUGAUAAGCCGGUUGUGAAAGCCCCGGGCUCAACCUGGGAACGGCAUCCGGAACUGUCAAGCUAGAGUGCAGGAGAGGAAGGUAGAAUUCCCGGUGUAGCGGUGAAAUGCGUAGAGAUCGGGAGGAAUACCAGUGGCGAAGGCGGCCUUCUGGACUGACACUGACACUGAGGUGCGAAAGCGUGGGUAGCAAACAGGAUUAGAUACCCUAGUAGUC